GACGAACGCUGGCGGCGUGCUUAACACAUGCAAGUCGAACGGAAAGGCCCUGCUUUUGUGGGGUGCUCGAGUGGCGAACGGGUGAGUAACACGUGAGUAACCUGCCAUUGACUUUGGGAUAACUUCAGGAAACUGGGGCUAAUACCGGAUAGGAGCUCCUGCUGCUUGGUGGGGGUUGGAAAGUUUCGGUGGUUGGGGAUGGACUCGCGGCUUAUCAGCUUGUUGGUGGGGUAGUGGCUUACCAAGGCUUUGACGGGUAGCCGGCCUGGGAGGGUGACCGGCCACAUUGGGACUGAGAUACGGCCCAGACUCCUACUGGAGGCAGCGGUGGAGAAUAUUGCACAAUGGGCGGAAGCCUGAUGCAGCAACGCCGCGUGCGGGAUAACAGCCUUCGGGUUGUAAACCGCUUUCGCCUGUGACGAAGCGUGAGUGACGGUAAUGGGUAAAGAAGCACCGGCUAACUACGUG
rnacentral:rRNA from 1 species